ACGGAGGAUCCGAGCGUUAUCCGGAUUUACUGGGUUUAAAGGGUGCGUAGGCGGGCCCCUCAGUCAGCGGUGAAAGUCUGCGGCUCAACCGUAGGAUUGCCGUUGAUACUGGGGGCCUUGGAUUCGGUCGAGGCGGGCGGAAUGCGCGGUGUAGCGGUGAAAUGCGUAGAUAUCGGGAAGAACACCGGUGGCGAAGGCAGCUUGCUGGGCCGAUACCGACGCUGAGGCACGAAAGCGUGGGGAUCAAACAG
rnacentral:rRNA from 1 species